UCACUGCGCAGAAACGGAAAUAUAAAACAGGAAAACAGGGCGCACUUUACACAAAAAUGUGGGAAAUCCAAGCACCUACGUUUAGCAAAAGCAAUCACUGCUCAUGGGACAGAGUAGCAUAAAAGAUGCAGUUCAGAAGCACUAUCUGGAGGAGACUGGCAAACAGGGUCGUGAAGAGACCACCAUUCUCUGUGAAACUGGUACUAACCAGUUAGACAGCCAACCACAGAUAAGGACCACAUCAAUGAUAUCAGGAAUGUCAUGUGACCGUGAUGACAAUGAUAAUUAAAAACCCUGA